UAGCAAAAAAAUUCACUUUACCAAUCUACACCCUCACUCCGUUCGUCGCCGACGCCGUUGCUCGCCGCAUCUGUGAGACUCCAUCACCAUCGCCAUCGCCUUAACAAGUCCCAAGUCCCAAGUCCCAAAUCGAAGCUGCUCUCUGCCUCUCCGGCCUCCGCCAGUCCGCCGCGCUGUACGUCUCCUGUCGGCUGUGUCCUGCCGUGCUGGUUCAUCGCUGCCGAGUGUCGAAGACGAAGCACCAAGAUCUCACUAGUUCAUCGCUGGUUCAUCACUGCUCAUCUCUGGCUCACUUAGGUGCUAAGUGUGGCCCAGACAACUGAUUAUCUUUGAAUUUGGUAUAUUCGUCUCCGGCACUUCAAACGCACUUGGAAACUAGAAGUUUAUUAUAGAUCUAGCUUAGUAUAUCAAGUUAAUUUAGUUAACAAUUGUUGUAGUGGGUAGUGCCUUGAAAAUCUUGUCCAAAAUGACUCAUCCUUAGUGGAUCAUAGACCACUCUUUAUAUCUUAGCUGCUACCUUUAUUCAACAGAUUUGUGGUGGAUUCAGUAACAUGCUCUAGGUCUCAAAUCUUUGCUAGCAGUAUAUGAAUUAUGAUUCAAUGCAUAUGCAUCACAGACACCUAAAUCAGUUUUGUCCUAUUGUUGAUCACCUUCUGGGCAUAUGUAAAUGGCAUCUUGUUCUGAUAUUGUACUUUUGGGGAACGUCUCUGUAAAAGAGAUAAUUGUUCUCCCCUCUAGAUUGUGCCUCAUUGUUGAGCCUUACUUGGUAAUUAACUGGAUGUGAGUAGAUUGACUAAUUAUGCAGUUGUACUGCAUGAUGGCUUGAAAUAAGAUGCUAGUCUCAAGCAAGUGCUUCUGAUCCUGUAGCAGAUUUAUGUGAAUCUCUGUCAAUUUUUUUUUGAGGUUUUUAAUAGAUAAUUUUGUGAAGGCUUAUAGCAGUUACAUGUCUCAAGCAUCCUUAGUUCUCAGAGAUCCAUAUUAAAUGUUGUGAAACUCAGCUCUGUCAUUCAAUAUUUGGUUGGUUGAUAUGUCAAGUCAGUAAAAAAAAAAA